CCCCUAUCCUUCCGUUUUGAAGAAGGCACUAUUGUUGGAUCAUGGCAUGCAUUAGAUUCACCACCAGCAGCAGCAACCUCUCGUCUGGUGUUAUGCAGGUCAAUCAGAAUCUUGCCCAACAAACGGCGUGCAAUCUGAAGAAAAGGACAUGAGAAACAUCAUAAGUUGCUUCUGCUCAUUCUGAUCAGGGGAAGAUCACAAGCAAAGCUACAGAUGCUGCUGCUGGACCUCCUGACCUGAGAACAUUUGCUUAUGCACCAACAAGAUCUACCACCAGCCGUUUUGAUCAGAGUGAAAACACGCGCAAAGCUAUGUGCACUGCGGACAGCCCUCCUGAUAUUAGCACAUUCGAAUAUAAACCCAUGAAAAGCGCCGUCAGACGUUCAGAUGGGAGCAAGUUUUCAGGUGCAGCACUAAAAGCAGCUAGACGAACCUCUCGGAGCUGAUUCUCACAAAAUUGUGGAUGCACCUGCCAGCUUCCUUAUCUGAGCAUGUUUGGAUUUGCGUAUGCCUUCUGUCUGCGUUCAUGAUCUGAGUUCAACAGAAUCAUCCAGCAACAAAUGCUCUCAAUAAAAGUGCAUUCCAUUUUGCCCAAAGUGCAAGCACGGCUGAGGUAGCUGCCAUUCACUACUACUAGCUGCAGGGCUUAUCAGUUCAGACUUCAGAGCUCAUCCGUAUCUGCGCAAUCAGAAGCACACAUGUUCUGAAGGGAAGUGCUUUAUCUUCUCGGUUUCCAGAGCCAAUUAUGUGGCAUUUUGCGAGCCAAAUGUAUGUGCUCGUUUUUGCCUUGUCCAAUGAGGUUCUUGUAUGAACAGCAGUCGAAUUUGCGAUGCUAUUUAAGCCGCAAAUGAGGAUACUGUUGUAUUGUUCCUUUUUGAGAAGAUACUGCUGUAUGUUCAUUCUUAUACAAGUGUGAGCAUUCCUUCAGAAUUCAGAUAGCAUUACUCUUGUCAACUAUUGAUCAAGAUGUUGGAAAGACUUUGAAACCGGCUGUUUAAGCACUUGCCAGCAUUCUACCAGUCUUUCUGAAAGAUUAUAAUAAGAGUAAAUUGCAUAUUGGGAACAAAUUUUUAUCUAGUUUGCAGAUUUUCACUUUAAACCGGCAAACUUCACAAUAGUUGCAAAAUGGACCGGUGUUCUUUUCCAAUCUAAAAUUCCAGUGGCUAGUCUUAAAAUAACGGUGGCCAAACUCUGGGAUUACAACCGAAAUGAAGCUAAUGCAAACAUGGAAUGAAAAAAAAAACGAUACUAUAUAGUUUUCAAAGUAUUCCCUCCGUCCCAUAAUAUAAGGGAUUUUGAGUUUUUGUUUGCUUUGAUGACUCGUCUUAUUUAAAAAUGUUUGGAAUUAUUAUUUAUUUUUUUUGACUUACUUUAUUAUUCAAAGUAUUUUAAACACGAAUUUUUUUGGAAAUAAUACGAUUUUAAUGAAAAAUUGUAAAAAUAUAGGUCGAUUAGGCGAAAUCGCAUGUUUAGCACCCUGUCGAACAACCGUGGUUCGACAGCCAUCUGUCGAACUGGGUAGUUGGUCUAAAAAAAUAUAAAAAAGUACGGCUACAGGAAUCAGCAGGAACAUGUCGAACUGACAAAGUUAGAUAGGGUCACGUGAACAGUCAGAAAUCAGCAGGAACAUGUCGAACUGACAAAGUUAGAUAGGGUCACGUGAACAGUGCCGCUACAGGACAUAUCGAACUUUCAAAGUUCGACAGGUUGCGGCUACAGGUGGCUGUCGAACUACGGUUGUUCGACAGAUACCUCUGUCGAACCACGGUUGUUCGACAGGGUGCUAAACAUGCGAUUUCGCCUAACCGAUCUAUAUUUUUGCGAUUUUUCAUUAAAAUCGUAUUAUUUUCAAAAAAAAUUUCCUUUAAGCACAACUUUUCGUUUUUUAUAUUUGCAUAAAUUUUUUUAAUAAGACAGGUGGUCGUAAGCAAAAGCUCAAAAUCCCUUAUAUUAUGGGACGGAGGGAGUAAUUAAUAUUCAAUUUCUUACUUAUCCAUUGAAAUAUACUCCAUAUAACAAUUGAAGAUACUGCACGAAUCUCCGCGCAAUCAGCCGUGCAGAUUCCCCUACUAUCCCGGCCAGGGAGUACACUUCGGUGGACAUCAUCAUGACCCGUCACCGCAGAGGCAAGCGCGGGCGCGCGAGCCCCGACCCUCCGGCGAAGCGCCGCCGCCGCGGCCGCGGCCACGGCCACGGCCCUGGCCCGCCGGAGUUAGAGGCCGACGAGCUGGAGGCUCCUCCGGCGCCGGUACAGGCUCCAUCGGCGGCGGCGGCGGCGGCUUCGGAGCCGUUGCUAGUGAUGGUCGCGGGGCUGCCGCCCGGGUGCGGCGUGAUGGAGCUCAAGUCGCGGCUCGGGGCGUACGGCCCCAUCGCGCGCACCCGCAUAGACGCCGCCUCGGCCACCGGGUACGUCACCUUCCGCUCCGCCGCGGCCGCCAUGGCCGCCAUUGCUGCCUCCCUCGACCCCGACGGUGGCGUCACCGUCGGAUCCAAGAAGGUAAGGAGAUCUGCGUGCUGCAGUUGGAUGAGCUCGAUUUCAACUUGCUGUGCGUGUAGAGGAAUGCAGUACAGCCUGUACAGGGUCAAGCUUUGCUGAGAAUUGUUUGAAGGCGCUGCUAGAUUUGAGAAUUUUAUAGAUUGGCAUCACAUCCGGCCUUUUAUCUCGACUUUAAAGUUCUGAUGGAUGAUGGAUUAUGGAUCAAACAGAGUUUAUGAAAAUUAUUUGAGGGCACAGACGAGAGAAUUUAGUAUUAGAAAGUUGAAAGGUUGACUUUAAAAAGUUCUCUAAGAAAUGCCGAUGAAGAAAGUUUAUGCAAAAAUCAUACCGUUUGGGAGUUUGGGAAGUGCGCCCGCAAUAAUCAAAAAUCCGUGAGAGGAAAAGAAUGCUUUUUUUAAUUAUUUUUCAUCUCAUUUUAUACUCUGCAUUUGCUGUUUCAUUCUAGCAUUUUGGAUUUAAUUAAUGUGCUAGUUAUUCAAUUAACUUACACAUUUGCUGGGCUCUACAAAACCUACUCAAUUCCGUGAUGAACUGGCUACCUUAAAUUCAGUCCAAGGUUACAGUCAACCAUUUUAUCUGGUACAAGUCUAUAAGAUAGUAAAUUAUAUUCAAUAUUGAUCUUGUUUACAUCCAGACUGUGCUGGUAUCUUCGCUGUCACAAUUUGUUCAUGUUAACGGUCGUUUAAAACCAAGUAGAAUACAGAUUUAGUUUAGAAAAAAUAAACAAUAAACUUAUUUUGCACUUUAUUUUAGUCGAAAUGCAUCUGCACUUUGGUUGUGCAGCAGGCACAAAAUAAACAGAACAAAAUUUCUAACAGAUUCAGGGGAAGCUAUAGCAUGCUACACAUGUUUUGAGCCAUUUGGUACUCUUGCUCUUCGAUACUCAGAUUGCUGGUUCUUUCAUGGGUUGCAGGUUUUAGUUGUACAGGCAAGCGAGGCGCCGAAUGACUUGAGAAGUACAGCUCAAGCCAACCCAGUGGGGGAGAAUACGCAUGAUGCGACGAAGAGGAAUGCAAGCGAAUCUUCAGCGUUCUCGAGCACGAAAGCGGCUCCAGAAGGAACCUACAAAGCUAGAGAAAUAGUCGCCUACGAUGAUCUGUUCUGAACUUCUAAUAACCAGCCUUCUUUAGGGAGGAGGUGAGACAACCAUUCAGGUUUGUUCUUGUACACUGCUAGGGUCUUUAGGUGAGUAAGCUAUGGGUAUUUUUUAGUGUGUGAAGGUACCUUCAGAUGGGUAGGUGUUUCUUGUAUUCAGCAUGUAUUGUGGAAGUUAUCAUCAAAACAUGAGAAUUUAUGUAUGUUAGAUUGUUAAUAUUGACAGUGCCUUACCAUCUUCUCAAAAUUUCUAUUCAAGUGCAUUCGACUAUUAUUCGUGGCUACUUUGAAAACAUUUGAAAAAGAUUUAGCAAAAAAAAAAAGAUCAAAAGUGUUUUGAUCGAUUCAAUAUUUGACACCGUUUCAUAAAAGGCAGAAGAACCGUCUGAUCAAAGAGGUGAAAAAAAAGGAAUCUGGGAGUUGUGCUUCGUAUCACAUCAGUCUAUACCAGUAAAAAUAGAGCAAAAGUAAAUCGAAUAUAUCACACUGGCAUGUCACAAAUAUACAAGGUAUUAUUCCGGGAAUGUUCAGCGAGUACUUUUUGUUAAACAUGUUCGAUUAAAACGCUCCAACCUGUAAAGCUCUAAAAAUAACGCUCUUAGCAAACGCCUAAAGUAGCAGAAUUUUCUAGUGAAAUUAUUCUGAAGACGGAAACACUAUAAUUUUAAAGGCACAUAAUAUGACCACCUUGUAUAUAUACGGAAAAUUUUAUCCAGAUACACGUGUAACCUAUUAUUUACGCAAUUACACUGUCUGCAAAACAGCUCUAUCAGGUUACAUUCUCAGAACUGACAAAAUUGUUCCAGCUGCAUGAUCUUCAGUGCUUGGCACUCAUGCAGCAUUUUGCAGACUCACUAUUAACCUCUCUUCAAGGCAAGUGCUUUAUCAACAUUCUAUUGGUAAACCAUUUACCUGAGACUUUUGUUAACAGAAAUAUCAAACCAUGUCUGACUUAUCUUGCUGGCCUGCGUGUUGAACAUGCUAUUCUUGAAGCUUUUUUGUCUUCCUUUUUGGCAUACCACUCACCAUGUCUGACUUAUCUUGCUGUCAAAUUUCAAAAAGGAAAAUAUGUAGUUAAUAUAACAGGAGGAGGUAAUAAAAUAAGAAAUUUUAGGUCAUUAUCGCCAAAGGUUAAAAAGAUAUAGCCAAAUCAAUCAUGUAUACAAAGAGGAAAAGGCUGUACAGUGACAUCUGACUGGUUUGUUGAUGAUUAUUCAUAGCAUUGUGUCAAUAUGACUAGUUAAGCUGAUUGUUCCCAGACGUAAGCAGUCUUCUAAUGAUUUCUGAUUGAUUGCAGAAGCAGACAGCCUCAUAACGCUAUCUGAUUAAUGGAGUAUCCAUUGGCACUAGUCAAUUUUUAAUUCAUUAGCGUUAUAUACUCGUGCAGUGACGAUAGUUCCAGCAUUGAUCCCCUCUCUUAGCUGGUUCAUACAAUGUUGUGACAUUUCUUAAACCUUCAGGCUCACUCUGUGGUAUAAGAUUGGAGAAGAAUGUUUUGGUGGUAUUUUUUGGCACUGACAAAACAUUGGAAGUAUUAGAUGCUAUUUUCUCUAAAAUAGAAGGGCAGAAUCAUUCUAUGAUAAAGAACAGGAUAGGGUACCAAUCUUGCGCCUUGCAAUCCAUUAUCCUUGCAGAAACGGACUGCCAAAGAUUGAGAAGGGGCAGCUGGGGGGAAAUCUUCAGCUGGCAUUGCAAAUGGACGAACCAUUUUAUCAAAUUUGUCCAAGGUGAGAUAUGAUCCAACUUCCUGCAAUCUUUCUGGCUCCAUAAUUUUCAUAGUGUGAUCAUCAGGUAGCAAUGAAUCUUUUCCAUGUUCGCUCUGUAUGGAUACAUUUUUCAAGAACUGUUGAGUUAAUAACCAGAAAUGUUGAAAACAAACAUCUUACAUUUCAUUUGAAGGGGACCAAACUCACCUGUAAGGAACUUAUAUCUGCACCACGACUAUAUGUCAUUUCUAUGCGAAACCUUUUUGGGUCUUCCAAAGAAACCUGCAAUAGUUGUCCAAUGACAAGAUCAAUAUCACUUCUCACCGGUAGUAUUAGUAAAGUAAAAGCUUAUGAUUACACUAUAAUUUUUUAAUACCUCUGUAUUCUCGAACAUACGCAAUACAAUGUAACUCAUGUAGUCAAGUUCCCUUGUUUUAAACAGAUUAUCUAGAGCAUUUUUGCAAACAAGACUUUCUUCUCCAUCCAUAGAUUCAUCAAAAUUGCAGUAUCGAAGUACAUUCAUUAGAGAAUGUAUAUGUGAUUCCUGACAACAAAAUAAUCCUUAGUCAUUCUUAUCAGGGAGAAGAAAACAAAAACAAAGAAUUUCAGUUAAAAAAAAACUCCAAAGAAAUGUCAUAUAGGAAAUUGUCGUUUCCAUGAUGAUGUAUGCUUUUUAGAGCCUUAGUUUUUAGGGUUUUUUUUUUUUGAAAUUUCUGUAUACUUCUAUAGUUAUAUUGAUAUAUUACCAUAAAUCAAGAAAGCAUAAACUUAACAAUUUGCAAGGGGAAUAUGAAAACUCAAUGUAAUUUGUCUUACUGAUGUAAAAUAGAGCCUUGUUCGAACACGUCGUUCAGGUUCCAUCACAUUGGCAUAUCUACAACAAAAUUAUUUGAAUAUCAAUUGUAUUCUUCAUAGUCAAGAUUCCUAACUGGAAUUUCGUACUUACUUUGGAUCCAAGCAGUAUUUGGUUUCUUUGUGCGAAUCAUCAAGAUCAAUUGACUUCUUGUUUGAGUUAGGUCUAUCAAAACCCUCAUUCUUAACAUCCCCAUAGUAACCCCUAUCCUUCCGUUUUGAAGAAGGCACUAUUGUUGGAUCAUGGCAUGCAUUAGAUUCACCACCAGCAGCAGCAACCUCUCGUCUGGUGUUAUGCAGGUCAAUCAGAAUCUUGCCCAACAAACGGCGUGCAAUCUGAAGAAAAGGACAUGAGAAACAUCAUAAGUUGCUUGUGACUAAAAAACAAAACAGUGCCAAAUAAAAGGGCUAGCCUCUAGGAGAAAAUUGGGUACUACAUAUUUUCUGCAACAAAUUCCUUUAGCAUCCUUCAUUUCUAGAAACAAAAUCUCAUUUAUGUUAGUUUUUCGGAUAAACACUACAUAAUGAAAACAAUGAAUAUACAGGACGCAACUCAUAACAGUUUCUUUUCCAGUUUUCAAAUAUAUUUACACACCAGUACCUUU
rnacentral:lncRNA from 1 species